rnacentral:lncRNA from 1 species
ACCACCACCGCCUUCAAUUGGUAGUAAUAGAGGACAUUCAUCGCCAAGAAAACCUACUUCUUCAACUUCACCUGAUAGCUUUUCUAGAGGACCUCCGCCACCACCACCACCUCCGCCACCUCCUUUUAAAAGUGUUUUAUCAGCACCUCCACCACCUCCACCACCUCCACCACUUCCUAACAAGAGCUUUUUAUCCACUUCUGCUCCUCCACAUCCACCUCCUGUCCCCACAUUUUCUACUUCUAAAAGUGCACUGUCUCCACCCACACCUCCCCCUCCUCCUCGGGGACAAUCUAACUGUAAUUUAUCAGCUCCUCCUCCACCUCCUCCACCUCCUCCACCUCCCUCUCUUUUUAUCUCUUCAUCUCCUCCACCACCGCCUCCUCCACCUCCCCCGCCUACCAUUUCUGCCUCUUUCAAAGGCCCUCCACCUCCACCCUUUACGUCAAUUAGGCCAACUUCGUUGGCACCUCCACCACCACCGCCUCCCCCUCCAUCCUCUACGUCAAAUAGGCUAACUUCGUUGGCACCUCCACCUCCACCGCCUCCGCCUCCAUCCUCUACAUCAAAUUGGCCAACUCCAUUGGCACCGCCACCGCCACCACCUCCACCGUCAAUCAAUUCUAAAAGGCCACCUGCACCUCCUGCACCUCCUUUGGGAGUUCCUAAGCAAGGUUCCACUCCACCAGCACCUCCACCAGCACCAAAGGCCCCUAAUGCUCCACCAUCAAGGCGGGGUUUUACACCCACUCCACCUCCACCGCCUGGGGGAAAGGGCCUUAAUG